rnacentral:rRNA from 1 species
AUUGAACGCUGGCGGCAGGCCUAACACAUGCAAGUCGAACGAGUGGCGGACGGGUGAGUAAUGUCUGGGAAACUGCCUGAUGGAGGGGGAUAAAUACUGGAAACGGUAGCUAAUACCGCAUACCAUCAGAUGUGCCCAGCUGGGAUUGGCUGGUUGGUGGGGCAACGGCUCACCAAGGCGACGAUCCCUCGCUGGUCUGAGAGGAUGACCAGCCACACUGGAACGGAGACACGGUCCAGACUCCUACGGGAGGCAGAAGGGGGGAAUAUUGCACAAUUGGAGCAAGCCUGAUACAGCCAUGCCGCGUGUAUGAAGAAGGCCGUCGGGUUGUAAAGUACGUUCAGCGGGGAGGCGUUACCCGCAGAAGAAGCACCGGCUAACUCCGUGCCAGCAGCCGCGGUAAUUC